rnacentral:lncRNA from 1 species
UUGGAUGGCACGACAAAAGUCAAGUGCCCAGAUAGGUGCUACAGUUGAAUUUAAAGUUGGUUGCCAAGUGUUUUUGUAGUAUGCGUAUUGUCACCCGGAAUGUGUGAAUGGUUAGAACAAGAUACGAUGUCCAUGUUUGAAGUGUAAGAAUGUAAAUUAUAUGGACAGAGAUGUGGUGAACUAUGAUUUACUUGUUUCUGGGUUCAUGAAAAAUUACGAAGAAUACUGGUGGGCACAUGGGUAGAGAAGAGAUGGUGGCAUCACAGAAGUACACAAUCCAGGCAUUAGUUCUCAUCGUAUGAAUGAAAUGGUUCAUGAUAUUUCAGGGCCAGAUUUUGAUUGGGAACAAGGCAGAGAGCAACCUAUGAAUUCUGAUGCCAACGACUUCUUUAAGUUGUUAGACGAGGGUAGCGAGCCAUUG